CAGACAUGGAUGUAUUAAAGGCUACAGACCGCUGGAAUCGACUCAGAAACUAUCCAGAGACAUUGGAGUAGCCUUUAGCAUCGCUGAUAUGCCCUUGAACACAACUUUUGAUCACAAAACAGCAAAGUGCACGUGAGCGCGCCCCACUGGCUAGCUCACGGCCACCGCUCUGCACUGUGCUCAUUUGGCGGUUACAGCCGAUUACGCCGGCCCGACUGACGCGUCGUCACAGAAGCGUGGCGCUCACCCUCCAUUACCCGCUCAGUGCAUCAUCUGAGCGCGCCCCACUGGCUAGCUCACGGCAGCCGCUCUGCACUGCACUCAUACGGUGAUCACAGCUGAUAAGGCCGGACCGACCGACUGCGUCGUCACGGAAGCGUGGCACCCACCCUCCGGUUCCCCCUCAGGUAAACACGGUUAGCUCUGUCAGCAUUGUUGCCUUUGUUUGCACUGGUAGCGCUGUUUGCACCGUUAGCUGAGAGCCAUUGGCUCAGCCAUCGCCAUGUGGAGGCAAUAGAU